GAUGAACGCUGGCGGUAUGCUUAACACAUGCAAGUCGAACGGUGUCUUCGGACACAGUGGCGGACGGGUGAGUAACGCGUGAGAAUCUGCCUUCAGGUCUGGGACAACCACUGGAAACGGUGGCUAAUACCGGAUGUGCCGAGAGGUGAAAGGUUAACUGCCUGAAGAUGAGCUCGCGUCUGAUUAGCUAGUUGGAAGUGUAAUGGACUCCCAAGGCGACGAUCAGUAGCUGGUCUGAGAGGACGAUCAGCCACACUGGGACUGAGACACGGCCCAGACUCCUACGGGAGGCAGCAGUGGGGAAUUUUCCGCAAUGGGCGAAAGCCUGACGGAGCAAUACCGCGUGAGGGAGGAAGGCUCUUGGGUCGUAAACCUCUUUUCUCAGGGAAGAAAAAAAUGACGGUACCUGAGGAAUAAGCAUCGGCUAACUCCGUGCCAGCAGCCGCGGUAAUACGGAGGAUGCAAGCGUUAUCCGGAAUGAUUGGGCGUAAAGCGUCCGCAGGUGGCAAUGUAAGUCUGCUGUUAAAGAGUGAGGCUCAACCUCAUAAGAGCAGUGGAAACUACAUAGCUAGAGUACGUUCGGGGCAGAGGGAAUUCCUGGUGUAGCGGUGAAAUGCGUAGAGAUCAGGAAGAACACCGGUGGCGAAGGCGCUCUGCUAGGCCGUAACUGACACUGAGGGACGAAAGCUAGGGGAGCGAAUGGGAUUAGAUACCCCAGUAGUCCUAGCCGUAAACGAUGGAUACUAGGCGUGGCUUGUAUCGACCCGAGCCGUGCCGUAGCUAACGCGUUAAGUAUCCCGCCUGGGGAGUACGCCGGCAACGGUGAAACUCAAAGGAAUUGACGGGGGCCCGCACAAGCGGUGGAGUAUGUGGUUUAAUUCGAUGCAACGCGAAGAACCUUACCAAGGCUUGACAUGUCGCGAAUCUCGGUGAAAGCUGAGAGUGCCUUCGGGAGCGCGAACACAGGUGGUGCAUGGCUGUCGUCAGCUCGUGUCGUGAGAUGUUGGGUUAAGUCCCGCAACGAGCGCAACCCUCGUUUUUAGUUGCCAGCAUUAAGUUGGGCACUCUAGAGAGACUGCCGGUGACAAACCGGAGGAAGGUGGGGAUGACGUCAAGUCAGCAUGCCCCUUACGCCUUGGGCUACACACGUACUACAAUGCUCCGGACAGAGGGCAGCAAGCAUGCGAAUGCAAGCAAAUCCCGUAAACCGGAGCUCAGUUCAGAUCGCAGGCUGCAACUCGCCUGCGUGAAGGAGGAAUCGCUAGUAAUUGCAGGUCAGCAUACUGCAGUGAAUUCGUUCCCGGGCCUUGUACACACCGCCCGUCACACCAUGGAAGCUGGUAGUGCCCGAAGUCAUUACUCCAACCUUUCGGGGGGGAGGAUGCCUAAGGCAGGACUGGUGACUGGGGUGAAGUCGUAACAAGGUAGCCGUACCGGAAGGUGUGGCUGGAUCACCUCCUUU
rnacentral:rRNA from 1 species